GUGGCUCUCUGGCUUUUUCACUUGGCUGGCUGCAGUUUCAUGGCUCUGACCUCAGAUCUCUAGCUGCCUCACUGUCAGAGUACCUCACUUCCCAGUUGCCUCUCCUCUGUCUUUUCUGACUGAGCCUUUUUAAGAACUACACUUUUUUUUUGUCUGACCCUUUGCUCCUGACCUAAUGACCUCAGUGCUAUCCUAGAUGACCACUUCUCACCCAAGAUCCCAUAACAUUUCGAAGCUGGAUGAGAUGGUUCCCUGCUUGCUAAGAUGAGCUUCAGGACCCUGUGGAAACAAAUUUGAUGAUCAAUGAUGAAAUGAAGGCGAUUCUGGAAAGUGCUCAGUCCACCCCAGUAUCUUCACCUGAGCAUUCUACUUUGUUGACUGGAUCUGGCUCAUCAAGGGCUGAGGAAGUUCUUCAGGCAGAAUGAGGAAGAUAUAUAGAUGAACUAUCUGGAUAAGGAAAAGAGGAAGAACAUUUGAGACAAAUGGAUAGCUGGCAUGAAGUUUCCUCUUCUCCAGAACUAAGGGCUGCCACCUGUUCAGAGAACAAGUUCACUCUGGCUGGAAGUACACCACCUGGUCCCCUUUCCUUUGGGACCUGUCCUGGAAGACAUGUCUGCAGAGCUGAGUGAGGCUCCCUGCCCCGGCUGCUGUCCUGGCUUGCAGGAUCUGGGAACACAUACCCAGAAACAACUCCCCAUGCAUGCGCCCUGCCUUUCCUCACAUGCUUCCCAGAGAGCACAUAACAUACUUCAAGAAAACCAAAGAAAGAAAAAAUUGCCCUAAGAGUUCCGGAAUUGACCUCUGGCUACAAAGAGCAUUGUGACUGGCUUACAAAGUUAUACGAUUCUCUGACGAAACUCUUUGUGACCCAGAGCAACUACUUAAGAGUCUGUUACAAGGUGUACAGUGUAUUCUCUCUGUGAGCUUACAUCUGUGGGCUCCACAAAGGGCAUGCAUGCCAAAAGCCUGGGUACGUGGUAGUUCCCAGUGACUGAAUCUUCGCCCAUUGGAAAAGUGAGGAACAGAAGAAAAGUCAGGCAAAUAGUCUAUGAGCUGGCUAGGUUUGUGUGUCCAUCAUCCUCUUGGGUGAAAGGCCAAAGGAAUGAGGGACAUGUCCCAAGAAGUAUGGCUGGAGCCAUGCCACAAAGUCAUACAGCCUCUUGGUGCACUGCUCUGUGCAUCUCCAAGACUCAGUCAGUAUUACAUUGACUGAUUCACUUGGUUUGUCCCCACCAAGACUCCCUUACACAGUGAAAAUGAGCACAUGCCUUCCCUAGACUGGCUUCAUUAUGGACUGGAGGUUUGACUUAGUAGUCACCUACAGCCCAAAUCUGCUCUGUUCUUGUUUCCCAUGGCAGGACUUGUGGGACUCACUUGAUGGUCAUGAUUGUAGAUCGUGAUGCACAGUGCAGUGAUUGGCUCACGACAGCUCAGCCUUCUUGCCACAUGGGAGCUUCCUUCAAUAUGACUUGGUGCUCAACCACAUUCUGGGCCAACAGAUGCCAGGCCUUUCCCCAAAGCACAGCUUUGUCAGUCUCUCAGCCAUCUUUUGGUCUUCAAUAAGGAAAUACCAAUGGUACCUGGCUGUCUUGGAGGCUGACUGCAGCUGCCCCAUGUUUCCCUACUCUAAACUCAGACCAUUGUCAAGUCAAGAGCACAGAUCAGAACCUUGUCUUCUACCACGAGCCAGUACUGAAGUCAAUAAAUAUCCUGUCAGCAGUGUGGCCACAGAGAUUAGCCCCCAGCUGUCAGCCAAAGUUGUAACUCCGCUCAUUCCAGGAGCAUCCCUUGACUGCAUGCCACCCAGGAAACCUGCAAGCUCCUCCCAGAGUAGGGCCUUGCAAAGAGCCUACUGGCUGCCAGCCCCAGGGUCAUCAUUAGGGCUUCAAUCUAAUAUUCAUGAUCUUUCCAGCUGGGUCAAAGGGAAGUAUCAGGAAUCCCUCUGUGGGAGCUUAAGAGGGGAGGAGAUGACAUCAUAUGGGGCUGGAGUAAGGAGGCUGUGGAGACAAUCACAAAUGACAGAGCUGCUGAAGCCUGGGUCAGGCAAGGGGAGGAGGAUGAGAUGGCUCUGGGAUUCCCUUUGCCCUACGGGGCAUACCUUGUGGCUCGAUCUUGUCCCCAGGAGUAGAUUUAAAAGGCAGCAUCCUACAUUUUCUCUUUGGUAUAAGCUGGGCUUCCACUGGGGACAGGCUCUCUCCUCUUCAUGGCCCUGCACCUUCCAAGUCUGCUCUACAGGGAAAGUGUUGGCCCUGUUCCUGCUAGUUCAAGGCCCCUGCCCCUAGCCAGCACAUGCAACCCUUUUUCCUUAUCUUGGUGACUAGAAUUUCCCCUCAGACUGUCUUCCUUCUGGCUUUACCUUGCUUGAUGCCUUUCUCUCCCCUUCCCUCUUCUCUCUUUCAUUGUCCCACUUCCCUGGGGCUCCCCCUUUUCUCGUUGGCACUCUUCCUCCUCCUGGGCAUACAGUUUCUAUACAACUCUUCAGGGACACUGGUGGUGUGGAAGAGGGGACUAGCUGGUAAACACUCUGAACUCUGUGGGACACUCAUCUCUGUGUGAGUGUUCAGUCAUACACAUAGAACCUAGAGGGUUGGUCCUUCUUAAGGUGGGAGCCAUGCGGACCAUAUCUCUCUCCAGAACUUGAUGCUUGGGUCACAGUGAACUGAAGGAGGGUGGGGCAUUAGCUCGAACCUUGCUGUUAGAGGAGGGGGAAUUGGAGCUUGUGUCAUGUUUCUUGUUGGAGUGUGGUGGUUGACAGUCAUUUGGGCACACUGCCUUAAAAGUUCUAGACUGUGUUCCUCCUGUGGUUCUCAGUCCGUACCAGGUAGAGACCAGAUCCAAUGUUUAACAGGUAGAUAUGGGAGUCUGUUCUUCAGUCCUUGAACGAAGAUGAAAAGUGCAGUCAGUGAUUGUGACAGAGAUCAGAGUAAUCUCAACGUCAACCUAGCUCCACUGUACCAUGGCUCACUCCCUUCUGAAUCCUUGUAUCUCAUACCAAACCCUCCUCCCUCCUUCACAGACUCUGGUCACAACUGCCGACUGUUUCUGGCUCAAGUUUCCCAGAUAAGGGGGGAUGCUGUGGGACAGCUUAAAGGUUCACAUUCUAUAAAUGAAUGCAAUCUGCCAAUGGCAGAAUACAUUUAAAAAGCAAAGGGAAUUACAACACAGAAGUAAAUCUUGGUGGCAAGGCCAACCAGGUUUCCUGUGGGACUCAGUUUUUUUUUGGUGGCCCCUCCCCCAGGGUGUGUGCAUCUUUUCUUUGGGGUAAGGAAGCAACAACAUAAACUGCGAAACAGGUGAAGAAUCAACCCCCAUACUCACUUCUACCUCCUCUUCAGUUGAUUUUGGAUUGUGGAUGUACCACAGGGCUGGCUACUGCUGCUGAAAGGAUCGGGUGAUAGCAGGCAAACUGUCCCCUGUGCAGCCUGUCCGUGUUCCUUUUUCAACAACUUCUUGCAGUUUUCUAGAUGAGAUAGUGGUAGGCAGGGCAGGUUCACUGCUCCUCCUCCUCAUGGGAGAGGGAGGUUAGCCCCAGCAGGCCUUGUGUUUGAAUGGAUUUUUGCAAGUUUCCAUAUUUGCUGAUAGAGGUACCUAUUAUUGAAUUGAUGGUAGAUUAUAUUGUAAGUAGCCACGAUAUCAUUAUGCCUUUUCUUCCCUACAGAUUCUAUGAUUUCUUGAAUCUUGUAGACAAAGUAAUAACAUAGUUAACAUAGUGUCCACAGUCUCGGCGACUAGGAUUUUCUGGAGGUUCGUGGUGAGGCUUCAGCACAGUGAGAGUCAUAGGUAUCUCAUUGGUGUCUUGUGCUUGAUGGUCACCUGGACCUAGGUUCUAUAAUGUAUAGGUAUGAAAUAAAUUUUUCUGAGGUUUUUGGU
rnacentral:lncRNA from 1 species